UUGGCACAGACGUCUUCGGCAAAGUGUGGACACAGAGGGCCCUGUGCUAGGCAGUAUGGAAAUAAGUUACAGUAGCCACAGUCCAUAAUCUCUAGGAGCCAUGGUCUGAUGAAAGGAGACAUGGUGGUUCUCAGAGGAGUAGUCAGACAUGUUGGAGACCUGUGGCAGGAUGUAUUUUCCAACCCACGCACAACAGCAUGCGCUGUCCACAUGCUCUUCUUACAAUGGGACAGUGACAUGCCUCCCACAGAGAGGUUUCUCUUUACUGAGGAAGCCUUUGGAGUGGGUCCAGCCUCAGCCCCCUUCUAACUGCCUCUGAAUGAGACCCAGAGUGAGAACUGCCUGGUUGAGCCCAGUCAACCCCCAGAAUUCAAUGACUGACAGAAAUGGUAUGUGUAUACCCAGCCCCCAGCCCCAUGACGGGAUAACUCUGAGAUGGUUCUGCGCUGGCUCUGGAGAUCCCCAUCAGGAUUAAAGCCCAGAUGCCCCUGCUGGACAUCUGCUUGAUGGUACACUUCCCCGGCUAAUUUCCCUACCUUUUGCUAGUGCUUCCUGGGGUCCACUUUCAAAUAAAC
rnacentral:lncRNA from 1 species